UACGUAGGGGGGCUAGCGUUGUCCGGAAUCAUUGGGCGUAAAGCGCGUGUAGGCGGUCCGGUAAGUCCGCUGUGAAAGUCGGGGGCUCAACCCUCGGAUGCCGGUGGAUACUGUCGGGCUUGAGUACGGAAGAGGCGAGUGGAAUUCCUGGUGUAGCGGUGAAAUGCGCAGAUAUCAGGAGGAACACCCGUGGCGAAGGCGGUUCUCUGGGACGGUACUGACGCUGAGACGCGAAAGCGUGGGGAGCGAACAGG
rnacentral:rRNA from 1 species